rnacentral:piRNA from 1 species
UAAAGCAUGAAGCUAUGAAAA